rnacentral:rRNA from 2 species
GAUCUCCUUCGGGAGUGACGUUUGUGGAACGAGCGGCGGACGGGUGAGUAACACGUGGGCAACCUGCCUGUAAGACUGGGAUAACUCCGGGAAACCGGGGCUAAUACCGGAUAAUCCUUCUUGCCACAUGGUGAGGAGUCAAAAGGCGGCUUUUAGCUGUCACUUACAGAUGGGCCCGCGGCGCAUUAGCUAGUUGGUGGGGUAAAGGCUCACCAAGGCGACGAUGCGUAGCCGACCUGAGAGGGUGAUCGGCCACACUGGGACUGAGACACGGCCCAGACUCCUACGGGAGGCAGCAGUAGGGAAUCUUCCGCAAUGGACGAAAGUCUGACGGAGCAACGCCGCGUGAGUGAUGAAGGUCUUCGGAUCGUAAAACUCUGUUGUCAGGGAAGAACAAGUAUGGUAGUAACUGACCGUACCUUGACGGUACCUGACCAGAAAGCCCCGGCUAACUACGUGCCAGCAGCCGCGGUAAUACGUAGGGGGCAAGCGUUGUCCGGAAUUAUUGGGCGUAAAGCGCGCGCAGGCGGUCCUUUAAGUCUGAUGUGAAAGCCCACGGCUUAACCGUGGAGGGUCAUUGGAAACUGGAGGACUUGAGUACAGAAGAGGAGAGUGGAAUUCCACGUGUAGCGGUGAAAUGCGUAGAGAUGUGGAGGAACACCAGUGGCGAAGGCGACUCUCUGGUCUGUAACUGACGCUGAGGUGCGAAAGCGUGGGUAGCGAACAGGAUUAGAUACCCUGGUAGUCCACGCCGUAAACGAUGAGUGCUAGGUGUUAGGGGGUUUCCGCCCCUUAGUGCUGCAGUUAACGCAUUAAGCACUCCGCCUGGGGAGUACGGCCGCAAGGCUGAAACUCAAAAGAAUUGACGGGGGCCCGCACAAGCGGUGGAGCAUGUGGUUUAAUUCGAAGCAACGCGAAGAACCUUACCAGGUCUUGACAUCCUCUGACCACUUCUAGAGAUAGAGUCUUCCCUUCGGGGACAGAGUGACAGGUGGUGCAUGGUUGUCGUCAGCUCGUGUCGUGAGAUGUUGGGUUAAGUCCCGCAACGAGCGCAACCCUUGAUCUUAGUUGCCAGCAUUUAGUUGGGCACUCUAAGGUGACUGCCGGUGACAAACCGGAGGAAGGUGGGGAUGACGUCAAAUCAUCAUGCCCCUUAUGACCUGGGCUACACACGUGCUACAAUGGAUGGAACAGAGGGCAGCGAAACCGCGAGGUGAAGCAAAUCCCACAAAACCAUUCUCAGUUCGGAUUGUAGGCUGCAAUUCGCCUACAUGAAGCAGGAAUCGCUAGUAAUCGCGGAUCAGAAUGCCGCGGUGAAUACGUUCCCGGGCCUUGUACACACCGCCCGUCACACCACGAGAGUUAGCAACACCCGAAGUCGGUGAG